rnacentral:other from 1 species
GUGUCCCUGCGCUGCACGUGAUGCCGGGGGGAAGUUUCAACCUCAUUCACAUUGCGGGAGCCGCACCGAGGGCGGUGUGCAAGCCCCUCCUAGAAGGGGAAGCCUGAAGCUCUCAUCGUUGGCGCCCACCUGGCAACGCCAGGUUCGAAACACCGUCGGCACACGGCAGAGGCGGGGAUUUG